rnacentral:misc_RNA from 1 species
GAUGAAGAACGCAGUAAAAUGCGAUAAGUAAUGUGAAUUGCAGAAUUCAGUGAAUCAUCGAAUCUUUGAACGCACAUUGCGCCCGCUGGUAUUCCGGCGGGCAUGCCUGUUCGAGCGUCAUUUCAACCCUCAAGCCCCCGGGUUUGGUGUUGGGGAUCGGCUCUGUCCUUCUGGGCGGUGCCGCCCCCGAAAUACAUUGGCGGUCUCGCUGCAGCCUCCAUUGCGUAGUAGCUAACACCUCGCAACUGGAACGCGGCGCGGCCAUGCCGUAAAACCCCAACUUCUGAAUGUUGACCUCGGAUCAGGUAGGAAUACCCGCUGAACUUAAGCAUAUCAAUAAGCGGAGGA